rnacentral:rRNA from 1 species
CAGCAGCCGCCGCGGUAAUACGAAGGGGGCUAGCGUUGUUCGGAUUUACUGGGCGUAAAGCGCACGUAGGCGGAUCCUUAAGUCAGAGGUGAAAUCCCAAGGCUCAACCUUGGAACUGCCUUUGAUACUGGGGAUCUCGAGUUCGGGAGAGGUGAGUGGAACUGCGAGUGUAGAGGUGAAAUUCGUAGAUAUUCGCAAGAACACCAGUGGCGAAGGCGGCUCACUGGCCCGAUACUGACGCUGAGGUGCGAAAGCGUGGGGAGCAAACAGGAUUAGAUACCCCGGUAGUCCCUGUCUCUUAUAC